UAAGGCCAGACUUUUUUUAUUAUCUGUUUAACAAGAUCCGCCGACUCCACCUUUCCCGAUUUUAGAAUAAAAAUAAAAGUAGUGCUUCUUACUUUUAUUAUUAUUUUUCCCGCCGACUGUUACGAAAUCUUCAGAAAAAAAAUAAAAUGUGUUGUUCACGAUACUCGCUUUCAGUCAAUUUCGUUAUCGGUAAUAUUUAAUUUUAAC
rnacentral:lncRNA from 1 species